rnacentral:rRNA from 1 species
CCUACGGGGUGCAGCAGUGGGGAAUAUUGGACAAUGGGCGAAAGCCUGAUCCAGCCAUGCCGCGUGUGUGAAGAAGGCCUUCGGGUUGUAAAGCACUUUCAGUGGGGAAGAAAGCCUUGGGGCUAAUACCCUCGAGGAAGGACAUCACCCACAGAAGAAGCACCGGCUAACUCCGUGCCAGCAGCCGCGGUAAUACGGAGGGUGCGAGCGUUAAUCGGAAUUACUGGGCGUAAAGCGCGCGUAGGCGGUCUGAUAAGCCGGUUGUGAAAGCCCCGGGCUCAACCUGGGAACGGCAUCCGGAACUGUCAGGCUAGAGUGCAGGAGAGGAAGGUAGAAUUCCCGGUGUAGCGGUGAAAUGCGUAGAGAUCGGGAGGAAUACCAGUGCCGAAGGCGGCCUUCUGGACUGACACUGACGCUGAGGUGCGAAAGCGUGGGUAGCAAACAGGAUUAGAUACCCGUGUAGUC